rnacentral:rRNA from 3 species
AAAUUGAAGAGUUUGAUCAUGGCUCAGAUUGAACGCUGGCGGCAGGCCUAACACAUGCAAGUCGAACGGUAACAGGAAGCAGCUUGCUGCUUUGCUGACGAGUGGCGGACGGGUGAGUAAUGUCUGGGAAACUGCCUGAUGGAGGGGGAUAACUACUGGAAACGGUGGCUAAUACCGCAUAACGUCGCAAGACCAAAGAGGGGGACCUUCGGGCCUCUUGCCAUCAGAUGUGCCCAGAUGGGAUUAGCUUGUUGGUGAGGUAACGGCUCACCAAGGCGACGAUCCCUAGCUGGUCUGAGAGGAUGACCAGCCACACUGGAACUGAGACACGGUCCAGACUCCUACGGGAGGCAGCAGUGGGGAAUAUUGCACAAUGGGCGCAAGCCUGAUGCAGCCAUGCCGCGUGUAUGAAGAAGGCCUUCGGGUUGUAAAGUACUUUCAGCGGGGAGGAAGGUGUUGUGGUUAAUAACCGCAGCAAUUGACGUUACCCGCAGAAGAAGCACCGGCUAACUCCGUGCCAGCAGCCGCGGUAAUACGGAGGGUGCAAGCGUUAAUCGGAAUUACUGGGCGUAAAGCGCACGCAGGCGGUCUGUCAAGUCGGAUGUGAAAUCCCCGGGCUCAACCUGGGAACUGCAUUCGAAACUGGCAGGCUUGAGUCUUGUAGAGGGGGGUAGAAUUCCAGGUGUAGCGGUGAAAUGCGUAGAGAUCUGGAGGAAUACCGGUGGCGAAGGCGGCCCCCUGGACAAAGACUGACGCUCAGGUGCGAAAGCGUGGGGAGCAAACAGGAUUAGAUACCCUGGUAGUCCACGCCGUAAACGAUGUCUACUUGGAGGUUGUGCCCUUGAGGCGUGGCUUCCGGAGCUAACGCGUUAAGUAGACCGCCUGGGGAGUACGGCCGCAAGGUUAAAACUCAAAUGAAUUGACGGGGGCCCGCACAAGCGGUGGAGCAUGUGGUUUAAUUCGAUGCAACGCGAAGAACCUUACCUGGUCUUGACAUCCACGGAA